rnacentral:lncRNA from 1 species
GGAUCAUAAGUUUCCCUGAGAAGUUAGAAAUCUACUUUCUGUGCCUCAAGGAAGGCUGUAACAAGAAGAAAGGAUGGUGACGCCAAAAGAGAAAGACAAGUAUGUUGAUCAGAAGAUUUCUGCAUUGAGUCUAUACGAAUGCAUGAACUCUUCUGGAAAUAGCCCUUACCUGAGCAAAUGGAACCAUAAACACCAAUGGAGAAAGAUGUAGAACUUCUUCUCGUGCCCUCGCAGGCAUCUCGCAUUGUCAGGAAUUGGUUCUUAGGUCACAGGUGAUGAAAAGACUCAAUAUAGACUCUACUUGCAAGCAUAGAGGAAUUUGAAAUGCUCAGUUCACCAACUCUCAUACUUUGUUUAGUUGUUUGCUAUUCAUUUAGUUGAUCCUCAAACUGCCGGGGUUGGGGGGUGGUGUGAGACAUAUGGAAAGUUAUUCAACGUCGCAAAAUGGCAUAAGGAAGUAAAACAACUCAGUUGUGCACCGUUGUGGUAAUUGGAACGUGUUUUACAAGCCUUGGAGUUCCUUGGUCCUUGGGCCAUAAAGCCCCAGCUAUGUGGAUAUAAGUUGAGUCUGACAGCUAACUAAUAAAAUAUGUCUUAGGACAAUAGACUCACUUCCUAGCCUACUGUCCUUCCUUAUGCUAACUAGUCUUUUAUCUUCAAAGGCUGAGAAAAUGAUGCUUCUGCUCAUGAUGAAGCUGUUGUUGGUGAUGCCAGUGGUGGUGCCCUCUAAAAAGUGUGGCUUUGAACUUCAGCCAACAGCACUAAUUUUGCUUCUUGAAUGUGUCUAUCCAAAGAGCUACUUUUUCUAAAUAAAGUUACAUCAGCAUAUGGCAAAAAAACUAAUAAUUUCAGUACUUAUAAAGUAGCUCCUUUUGAGUACACCAGUAAAAAUGUUAAAUGUUUUGGCAUGUGUAUUUUAUUCCUUAUGUUUGUAGUGGUUAAAAAUCAUUUUUCUUAUCUCUGUAGAAGAUUAAUCCCAAACUUGCAUAAGCAUUUUUAUAGUUUGUUCGAUAUAAGAAUUACAUGGAAGUUUUAUUGUUUGAAAGUUUUAGAACACAUUCCAAGCUAUAUUUCUGUUUUCAGUGGGUCAUAAUUUUUAAUUUCUAUAAUUUCCUUUUUUUUUAAUUCUGUAUGCUCUGUUAUGCCACUCAAUAUUAGUGAUUGCUUCACUAAAAGUUUUCUAAUUAUUCUUCAUUUGUAAUAUAAUCUAAGAUGUUUAAAAUACUAUUCUGGUUAGAAUAUAUUGAGUUUUUUAGAAAACAAAACUUU